rnacentral:lncRNA from 10 species
UUUUUGUUAAACUACAUGUGUUGAACAGAAAACUUAGGUAGUGGAAUGUACUUUUAUCUUUUUUAUUUUAAAGACUUCUUUCUUUUGAAAAUUGUUCUAUACAUUACUCAUAAGAAAUAUAUUACAGCAACAUUUAAAGAGCAUCUGCAAUACUAACCCUGACAUUUAUAGUAUAUGAUUUGAGGUAAAAAUAGCUCAAAGUUUUAGAAAAUAUAUAAACAAAAGAGGUAAGAGAUGGAUAUUUACUUACUAAUGUAAUGCUAAUUUAAUCUAUUAUUAAGAACAUUUAAUGUGCUCUGUUUUGAUCAGGAGUCUAAUUCACCUUCACAUUUCCUACAAUUUACACUUUUAAGGGAUUUUUUUUUAAUUUUCUAAGUGAAUACACUUGAGUUUACCUUUCAGCAAUCAAAGCAAGCAUAAUAUUCACUUUAUGUAGUUAAAGGAAGUAUAAACUCAGGAACAACACACUCUGUUUGUGUUCAAAGAGUGAAUAAACAAAAGUAUGGGAUGAAAGUUAAUCAUCAUCACAUGGUAGAGGCAGGCUUGUCUGUUGAGAACCUAGUCUCUGCCGCUCCCUACCUGCCAGACCUUGGGCAAAUCCCAUGCCUUCUCUGAAUCGGGGUUGCCUCACCUGUACAAGAAAGUCAGCUAAUUCAUAGGGUUCUUU